rnacentral:rRNA from 1 species
GAUGAACGCUGGCGGCGUGCUUAACACAUGCAAGUCGAACGAUGAAGCCCAGCUUGCUGGGUGGAUUAGUGGCGAACGGGUGAGUAACACGUGAGUAACCUGCCCUUAACUCUGGGAUAAGCCUGGGAAACUGGGUCUAAUACCGGAUAGGAGCGUCCACCGCAUGGUGGGUGUUGGAAAGAUUUAUCGGUUUUGGAUGGACUCGCGGCCUAUCAGCUUGUUGGUGAGGUAAUGGCUCACCAAGGCGACGACGGGUAGCCGGCCUGAGAGGGUGACCGGCCACAGUGGGAGUGAAACAGGGCCAGGACCCCAGGGGGGGGAGGGGGGGGGAAAUAUGGCAAAGGGGGCGCAAGCUGGAGGCAGCGCCGCGGGGGGGGGGAGGACGGCUUUGGGUUUGUAAACCUUUUCCAGUGGGAAAGAAGGGAAGGGGACGGUACCUGAAGAAAAGCCCCCGGCAAACUACGUG